UACGUAGGGCGCAAGCGUUGUCCGGAAUUAUUGGGCGUAAAGAGCUCGUAGGCGGUUUGUCGCGUCUGCCGUGAAAGCCCGGGGCUUAACUCCGGGUCUGCGGUGGAUACGGGCAGACUAGAGGCAGGUAGGGGAGAACGGAAUUCCCGGUGUAGCGGUGAAAUGCGCAGAUAUCGGGAGGAACACCGGUGGCGAAGGCGGUUCUCUGGGCCUGUACUGACGCUGAGGACCGAAAGCGUGGGGAGCGAACAGG
rnacentral:rRNA from 1 species